GUGACGAUUAGUGAGAGCAGCAGUCUGUCGUCACUGAGGAGCAAGAAGUCGAAUCGCUUCAGCCUCACCAACCUGGACAGCCUAUCGAAGGGCUUCACGAGCCUCAAGGAUCGCAUGAACCCACUCGUCGUCGAACCUGUCCGACAGCUCGCUGGGCGACGAUGAGACCAUGUCCACGAAGAGCGAUACUCGGACGACGACAGCGACCAGUUUGU